GAUGAACGCUGGCGGCGUGCCUAAUACAUGCAAGUCGAGCGAACAGACGAGGAGCUUGCUCCUCUGACGUUAGCGGCGGACGGGUGAGUAACACGUGGAUAACCUACCUAUAAGACUGGGAUAACUUCGGGAAACCGGAUCUAAUACCGGAUAAUAUAUUGAACCGCAUGGUUCAAUAGUGAAAGACGGUUUUGCUGUCACUUAUAGAUGGAUCCGCGCCGCAUUAGCUAGUUGGUAAGGUAACGGCUUACCAAGGCAACGAUGCGUAGCCGACCUGAGAGGGUGAUCGGCCACACUGGAACUGAGACACGGUCCAGACUCCUACGGGAGGCAGCAGUGGGGAAUCUUCCGCAAUGGGCGAAAGCCUGACGGAGCAACGCCGCGUGAGUGAAGAAGGUCUUCGGAUCGUAAAGCUCUGUUAUUAGGGAAGAACAAAUGUGUAAGUAACUAUGCACGUCUUGACGGUACCUAAUCAGAAAGCCCCGGCUAACUACGUG
rnacentral:rRNA from 1 species